rnacentral:snRNA from 1 species
GGAUGUGAGGGCGAUCUGGCUGCGACAUCUGUCACCCCAUUGAUCGCCAGGGUUGAUUCGGCUGAUCUGGCUGGCUAGGCGGGUGUCCCCUUCCUCCCUCACCGCUCCAUGUGCGUCCCUCCCGAAGCUGCGCGCUGGGUGGAAGAGGACGACCAUCCCGAUAGAGGACGACCGUUCUUCGGUCAAGGGUAUACAAGUAGCUGCGCUCCCCUGCUAGAACCUCCAAACAAGAAUACCAACAACAAAUGCUGGUGAGGAUGUUUCAUAGAAGGAACCCUCAUACACUGCUGGUGGGAAUGUAAGCUAGU